rnacentral:misc_RNA from 1 species
GAUAAGAACGCAGCGAAAUGCGAUAAGUAAUGUGAAUUGCAGAAUUCAGUGAAUCAUCGAAUCUUUGAACGCACCUUGCGCUCCUUGGUAUUCCGAGGAGCAUGCCUGUUUGAGUGUCAUUAAUAUAUCAACCUUCUCUUUUUUGAGUUGUUUGGAUGUGGGGGUUUGCUGGCCUCUUAAAUGAUUCAGCUCCCCUGAAAUGCAUUAGCAGAACAACCUGUUCAUUAGCGUGAUAAUUAUCUAUGCUAUUGAAUGUGAGGGCAGUUCAGCUUUCUAACCGUCCUUGGACAAUUCAUCAUUAAUGUGACCUCAAAUCAGGUAGGACUACCCGCUGAACUUAAGCAUAUCAAUAAGCGGAGGA